rnacentral:misc_RNA from 1 species
AAGGAGUCUAACAUCUAUGCGAGUGUUCGGGUGCCAAACCCCUGCGCGUAAUGAAAGUGAACGGAGGUGGGAACCCGCAAGGGCGCACCAUCGACCGAUCCUGAUGCCUUCGGAUGGAUUUGAGUGAGAGCAUAGCUGUUGGGACCCGAAAGAUGGUGAACUAUGCCUGAAUAGGGUGAAGCCAGAGGAAACUCUGGUGGAGGCUCGCAGCGGUUCUGACGUGCAAAUCGAUCGUCAAAUUUGGGUAUAGGGGCGAAAGACUAAUCGAACCAUCUAGUAGCUGGUUCCUGC